rnacentral:rRNA from 1 species
ACCCGCUGAACUUAAGCAUAUCAAUAAGCGGAGGAAAAGAAACUAACAAGGAUUCCCUUAGUAACUGCGAGUGAAGUGGGAAAAGCUCAAAUUUAAAAUCUGAUAGUUUCUAACUGUCCGAGUUGUAAUCUAGAGAAGUGCUAUCUGUGCUGGACCAUGUACAAGUCUCCUGGAAUGGAGUGUCAUAGAGGGUGAGAAUCCCGUCUCUGACAUGGACUUCCGGUGCAUUGUGAUGUGCUCUCAAAGAGUCGAGUUGUUUGGGAAUGCAGCUCUAAAUGGGUGGUAAAUUCCAUCUAAAGCUAAAUAUUGGCGAGAGACCGAUAGUGAACAAGUACCGUGAGGGAAAGAUGAAAAGAACUUUGGAAAGAGAGUUAAACAGUAUGUGAAAUUGUUGAAAGGGAAACGCUUGAAGUCAGUCUUGUUGGCUGGGAAUCAACCUUGCUUUUUUGCUUGGUGUAUUUCCUAGUUAAUGGGCCAGCAUCAAUUUUGACCAGUAGAUAAAGAUUAAGGGAAUGUGGCAUCUUUGGAUGUGUUAUAGCUCUUGGUUGCAUAUAUUGGUUGGGAUUGAGGAACUCAGCAUGCCGCAAGGUUGGGUUUUUUUAAACCACAUUCAUGCUUAGGAUGCUGGCAUAAUGGCUUUAAUCAACCCGUCUUGAAACACGG